rnacentral:rRNA from 1 species
UACGUAGGGCGCAAGCGUUAUCCGGAAUUAUUGGGCGUAAAGAGCUCGUAGGCGGUUUGUCGCGUCUGCCGUGAAAGUCCGGGGCUCAACUCCGGAUCUGCGGUGGGUACGGGCAGACUAGAGUGAUGUAGGGGAGACUGGAAUUCCUGGUGUAGCGGUGAAAUGCGCAGAAUAUCAGGAGGAACACCGAUGGCGAAGGCAGGUCUCUGGGCCGAUACUGACGCUGAGGAGCGAAAGCGUGGGGAGCGAACAGG